UGGGGAAUAUUGGACAAUGGGCGAAAGCCUGAUCCAGCAAUACCGCGUGUGUGAAGAAGGCCUUAGGGUUGUAAAGCACUUUCAAUUGGGAGGAAAACCUGCCGGUCAAUACCCGGUAGCUUGACAUUACCUUUAGAAGAAGCACCGGCUAACUCCGUGCCAGCAGCCGCGGUAAUACGGAGGGUGCGAGCGUUAAUCGGAAUUACUGGGCGUAAAGCGUGCGUAGGCGGUUCGUUAAGUCAGAUGUGAAAGCCCUGGGCUCAACCUGGGAACUGCAUUUGAAACUGGCGGACUAGAGUUUAGUAGAGGGGAGUGGAAUUUCAGGUGUAGCGGUGAAAUGCGUAGAUAUCUGAAGGAACACCAGUGGCGAAGGCGACUCCCUGGACUAGAACUGACGCUGAGGUACGAAAGCGUGGGUAGCAAACAGGAUUAGAUACCCUGGUAGUCCACGCCGUAAACGAUGUCGACUAGCCGUUGGCCCUAUUUACAGGGUUAGUGGCGCAGCUAACGCAUUAAGUCGACCGCCUGGGGAGUACGGCCGCAAGGUUA
rnacentral:rRNA from 1 species